rnacentral:rRNA from 1 species
AGAGUUUGAUCAUGGCUCAGGACGAACGCUGGCGGUAUGCUUAACACAUGCAAGUCGAACGAGACAAAAGAGAAGUGCUUGCACGGAUCUUUUAGAAAGUGGCGAACGGGUGAGUAACGCGUGGGUAACCUACCCUAUGGAAAGGAAUAGCCUCGGGAAACUGGGAGUAAUGCCUUAUAAGAUAUAUUUGUCGCAUGGCAGAUGUAUUAAACGCUCCGGUGCCAUAGGAUGGACCCGCGUCCCAUUAGCUAGUUGGUGAGAUAACAGCUCACCAAGGCGACGAUGGGUAACCGGUCUGAGAGGGCGAACGGUCACACUGGAACUGAGACACGGUCCAGACUCCUACGGGAGGCAGCAGUGGGGAAUAUUGCGCAAUGGGGGAAACCCUGACGCAGCAAUACCGCGUGAGUGAAGAAGGUUUUCGGAUCGUAAAGCUCUGUUAUUGGGGAAGAAAAAAAGACGGUACCCAAGAAGAAAGUCCCGGCUAACUACGUGCCAGCAGCCGCGGUAAUACGUAGGGGACAAGCGUUGUCCGGAUUUACUGGGCGUAAAGGGCACGCAGGCGGUUUUUUAAGUCAGAUGUGAAAGGUACCGGCUCAACCGGUGACAUGCAUUUGAAACUGAAAGACUUGAGUAUUGGAGAGGCAAGUGGAAUUCCUAGUGUAGCGGUGAAAUGCGUAGAUAUUAUGAGGAACACCGGUGGCGAACGCGGCUUGCUGGACAAAUACUGACGCUGAGUGCGAAAGCGUGGGGAGCAAACAGGAUUAGAUACCCUGGUAGUCCACGCCGUAACGAUGAGUGCUAGGUGUUGGGGAGACUCAGUGCCGCAGCUAACGCAAUAA